ACCAUUCAUGGUGCGUAUCCGGUCCCAGCAGCACCCACUGUUCACUAGACUGCCGGCUGAAAUUGAAUGUGAAGGUGCCAGAUCACGGCCACCUUCUGUGAUAACCUCGUGGCAUGGGAAGGCCAAAAUAUCCGCUGACCACUUCAAGGUUCGAGUGCCUCGGUCGACGUAAUUAGGACAUAUCACUGAAGAGGGUUCUCGUAUUCAUCAUAAAGUCACCAGGAUGCCACGUGCCUCUAGACUUAAAAUCAAUAAACCGCUUUCGCGAUUGUCGUGCA